rnacentral:rRNA from 1 species
UACAGAGGUCCCAAGCGUUGUUCGGAUUCACUGGGCGUAAAGGGUGCGUAGGCGGUGGAGUAAGUCUGGUGUGAAAGCUCGGAGCUCAACUCCGAAAUGUCAUCGGAAACUACUUCACUAGAGGUUUGGAGGGGGGACUGGAAUUCUCGGUGUAGCAGUGAAAUGCGUAGAUAUCGAGAGGAACACCAGUGGCGAAGGCGAGUCCCUGGACAAAUCCUGACGCUGGGCACGAAAGCUAGGGGAGCAAACAGG